GCCCGGCUUUACAAAAUGAAAGAAGAAGAUUUAUGCCACAUGAACUAAUACCCAGACACAACAUUAUCAAAUUUAACACAUUGUUUAAUCCAAAACAACCAAAGACACUAAUAUAAGAAACCUCUGCAAAUUUUUUUAUACGAUGUAUUAAUAGUAGGCUCACUCCUGCUUAACAACCAUAAUUUAUUUAUCAUACUUAUACACAAAAAGUAUUUCUUUAUACAAUUUUAGCUU
rnacentral:lncRNA from 1 species